rnacentral:rRNA from 1 species
GUCCUAGCUGUAAACGAUGGAAACUAGGUGUGGGAGGUAUCGACCCCUUCCGUGCCGACGCUAACGCAUUAAGUUUCCCGCCUGGGGAGUACGGCCGCAAGGUUAAAACUCAAAGGAAUUGACGGGGCCCGCACAAGCGGUGGAGUAUGUGGUUUAAUUCGACGCUACGCGAAGAACCUUACCUGGGCUCGAACGACUGGUAGUACCCUUUAUGAAAGUAGAGGGGAUCCGCAAGGAAGCCAGCCGAGGUGCUGCAUGGUUGUCGU